AAGAGAAAAUCUAUUUUCUGAUGAUUGAAAUGUAAAGGUAUGAUAUGUGUUAUGUUAUAAAGUGUGUAUGAUUUCAUGAUAUUAUAAGGUUAUUGUUUUCAUAUGUUGUUUUCAUGGAUCUCACCAAGGUAAGUGGACAGUAAAGGUUUUUAUAUUAAUAAACGAGUCCGUUAUAAGUUAUGCUCCAUUGGUCAUUUUUGUUUUCUACCCACCUUUACUUCCGUGGCGAUGAGAUAGUGUGAUAUCUUUACUGAGCUGGUGUAGCUCAUUCCUUAUUUAACCAUUUCAGAUCAGGAAGAG
rnacentral:lncRNA from 1 species